rnacentral:misc_RNA from 1 species
AACCUUAUGGACCUGCGGGCGUAUACCUGCGGAAGGAUCAUUAACCUUUCAAAAAACAGGGUGCGUCGCGGCCCCCCUCCGGGGGCGGUUUGGGGUCCUCCCCUUCACGCGCGCACGACUGCAUCCUUACUAUACGAGCACCUUCUGUUCUCCCUCGGCGGGGCAACCUGCCGUUGGAACCGAAUAAACCCUUUUUUGCAUCCAGCAUUACCCGUUCCGAAACAAACAAUCGUUACAACU